GAUAUCUAGGCAGUGACACUGCAGAAUAGCUGUCAAACCACCACACACUGAGCACAGUCUCCAGCAUGACGGUGAAGGUACACAUUGAAUAUUGCAAUGGAUGAGGGUAUGCCUCCCGCUAUCGGGACUUGGCCUUUGAGAUAAAGCAGGCUGUGCCCGGUGCGGUCGUGACUGGCAGGACUGGACGCUCAUCCAGCUUUGAAGUCACUUUAAAUGGCAACGUCAUCUACUCUAAACUGAAGAGUCAUGAAUUUCCAGAUACAAAAGAG